rnacentral:rRNA from 1 species
GACAAAGGGUGCAAACGUUGUUCGGAAUUACUAGGCGUAAAGCGAAUGUAGGCGGUGGGAUAAGUCGGACGUGAAAGCCCGGGGCUCAACCUCGGAAGUGCGCUCGAUACUGUCUCGCUUGAGUGUCGGAGAGGUUGGUGGAAUUCCGGGUGUAGAGGUGAAAUUCGUAGAUAUCCAGAAGAACACCGGUGGCGAAGGCGACCAACUGGACGACGACUGACACUGAGACUCGAAAGUGUGGGGAGCAAACAGG